rnacentral:lncRNA from 1 species
GUUCUGGGCUGUUUGAGUUAAAUAUAAUAAUUGCUUGGUCUAUAACAUUGAGGAUGUUGUCUUAUUCAAAGAGAGGAGCUGCAUUUCAAGCCUUUUGAAAUUGAUAACAAAUCUGGAUAAAUAAUCAAUUCAUUGGUUCCUUGUGGUUUGCUUGAUAUCCAGUGGCAAGUAUUUCAUGCAUGUUCAGAAAGAGAAUAAAAACCAUUGACCAGGAUGAAGUUUCACUGCCAAACAAAAAAGGAUGGGGGUUUUACUCACCGUCACCAUUAUAGGGACAGAGCGUAUCUUGCAAUCUGUCACCUACAGACCUCUCCAAGACCUUGUGCAGGGGUUCUUUAACAUGCCGAUCAGGACAUUUUCUGUGCACAAGGCAUCAAACAUGACAAUUUCGUUUUAGUUAUGUCUCUUAGAAUGGGACAAAAGACCAAAUUUUGUCACUGCAUGAUCACAGCAAAAUGAAAGCCCCUUUUUGGCAGAAGUUAACUAGCAUAUGGGAUAUAUCUUAUCGUUGUUUGUAUUGAUGGGUUGUUGUUUCAUACAUCACAACCCUUAUUCUCUGUGUUCAUGCAGCUUGAGAUUAAAUUAUAUACGAGCAAAUAGGUUCUUACAAAAAGAUAUUUGACUCAAGCCUACACAUUUUAAUAAGACAUCUUUAUUGUGAGGCAAAAGUUGAAAAUGAACUGACAGUUCCAUGGCAUAAAAU